UGAGGAACAUGACCUUCGGCGGGGGAUAGCCGGCCCAACGGUCGGGUAAUACCGCGUACGACCACAUGGGGACAUCCCUGAGUGGUGAAAGCAGCAAUGCGCCGAUGGAGUGCCUCGCGGCCUAUCAGCUAGUUGGUGAGGUAACGGCUCACCAAGGCAACGACGGGUANCUGGU
rnacentral:rRNA from 1 species